GAACGGCUGCUACAGCUGCA
rnacentral:siRNA from 1 species